rnacentral:rRNA from 1 species
CCUACGGGAGGCAGCAGUGGGGGAUAUUGCACAAUGGGGGAAACCCUGAUGCAGCGACGCCGCGUGUGGGAAGACGGUCCUCUGGAUUGUAAACCACUGUCCCCAGGGACGAAGAUGACGGAACCUGGGGAGGAAGCUUCGGCCAACUACGUGCCAGCAGCCGCGGUAAUACGUAGGGAGCGAGCGUUGUCCGUAGUUACUGGGCGUAAAGGGAGCGUAGGCGGGGAUGCAAGUUGGGGGUCAAAACUACCGGCUCAACUGGUAGUCGCACUCAAAACUGCAGCUCUUGAGUGAAGUAGAGGCAGGCGGAAUUCCUAGUGUAGCGGUGAAAUGCGUAGAUAUUAGGAGGAACACCAGUAGCGAAGGCGGCCUGCUGGGCUUUUACUGACGCUGAGGCUCGAAAGUGUGGGGAGCAAACAGGAUUAGAUACCCGAGUAGUC